CACUCCUGCGGGAGGCAGCAGUGGGGAAUAUUGCACAAUGGGCGCAAGCCUGAUGCAGCCAUGCCGCGUGUAUGAAGAAGGCCUUCGGGUUGUAAAGUACUUUCAGCGGGGAGGAAGGCAAUACGGUUAAUAACCGUGUUGAUUGACGUUACCCGCAGAAGAAGCACCGGCUAACUACGUGCCAGCAGCCGCGGUAAUACGGAGGGUGCAAGCGUUAAUCGGAAUUACUGGGCGUAAAGCGCACGCAGGCGGUCUGUCAAGUCGGAUGUGAAAUCCCCGGGCUCAACCUGGGAACGGCAUUCGAAACUGGCAGGCUUGAGUCUUGUAGAGGGGGGUAGAAUUCCAGGUGUAGCGGUGAAAUGCGUAGAGAUCUGGAGGAAUACCGGUGGCGAAGGCGGCCCCCUGGACAAAGACUGACGCUCAGGUGCGAAAGCGUGGGGAGCAAACAGGAUUAGAAACCCUAGUAGUCCCAUG
rnacentral:rRNA from 1 species